GCAGUGGGCAGGAACAAAAGAAGGGCAGAGGAAUGUGUGGUUGCAUUUUGGAGGGACUACCUGCUGGAUGUUGAGGAGCAAGAGGGACCCUUGCAACUUGGGGGUAUCCUGGCCUUUGCGACGGGAGCAAAUGAUAUUCCACCCCUGGGCUUCUCCCCACUACCUUCAGUGGUUUUUCUCCAUGAGCUGCCCCUCAGACAAGGCCGUCAUUUACCCACCGCAAACACAUGCAUUAACUGCCUGCGGUUGCCAGUCCUGAAAAAAUUCGAGGAUUUUAAGGAAACUAUGGAUUUUGCAUUAAAAAACACUCAGGGAUUUGUUCAGGAAUGACUUCCAAGAAGUCCUUAAUAUACAUUAUUAAAAUCUGUUGCCUGUUGAACUUGACUAAAUUGAAGAGGCAUCGUUGUCAAUAACUCACCAUUUCCUAAUACAUUAUUAAUGUCUUGUUUAAACAAUUAAAAAUGGAAUAAUCAUC